rnacentral:rRNA from 1 species
AUUGAACGCUGGCGGCAUGCCUUACACAUGCAAGUCGAACGGUAACAGGUCUACGGAUGCUGACGAGUGGCGAACGGGUGAGUAAUACAUCGGAACGUGCCUAGUAGUGGGGGAUAACUACUCGAAAGAGUGGCUAAUACCGCAUGAGAUCUACGGAUGAAAGCAGGGGAUCGCAAGACCUUGUGCUACUAGAGCGGCCGAUGGCAGAUUAGGUAGUUGGUGGGAUAAAAGCUUACCAAGCCGACGAUCUGUAGCUGGUCUGAGAGGACGAUCAGCCACACUGGGACUGAGAGACUGCCCAGACUCCUACGGGAGGCAGCAGUGGGGAAUUUUGGACAAUGGGCGCAAGCCUGAUCCAGCAAUGCCGCGUGCAGGAUGAAGGCCUUCGGGUUGUAAACUGCUUUUGUACGGAACGAAAAGCCCUGGGUUAAUACCCUGGGGUCAUGACGGUACCGUAAGAAUAAGCACCGGCUAACUACGUGCCAGCCGCCGCGGUAA